rnacentral:lncRNA from 1 species
GUGGCUUCCAGCAGCCCCUCUGCAGACCCAUCUGCACUUCAGUCCCUGCUGCCGGAGUUGUCCUGAAGAGGACAGCCCUGUGGAUGAGCUACAUGAGCCUCGUAAAUCCUUACGGGCAUGUAAGGCCACAGCACUGCCACUGCCCGAGCACCCAGUCAUGGCCCAAGGCCCUUCUCUGCACCAGAACUGAAGAACUUUCUGGAGUUUGCAUGGAGGAGUUCUCUGCACACGUGGUGCUGUGUCCCAUCUCCAUCUGGAAGGGGUGA